rfam:Nicotiana sylvestris Nsyl_contig242564, whole genome shotgun sequence.
UAGACAGAUUAUUGUAUUCGACUAUAUUUACGACGUGAAAUAUGGGAUUACACUAUUUUAAAAACGGAAAGUGAAUCAAUUAGCACAAUAGACUCCU